GACGAACGCUGGCGGCGUGCUUAACACAUGCCAGUCGAACGGAAAGGCCCUGCUUUUGUGGGGUGCUCGAGUGGCGAACGGGUGAGUAACACGUGAGUAACCUGCCCUUGACUUUGGGAUAACUUCAGGAAACUGGGGCUAAUACCGGAUAGGAGCUCCUGCUGCAUGGUGGGGGUUGGAAAGUUUCGGCGGUUGGGGAUGGACUCGCGGCUUAUCAGCUUGUUGGUGGGGUAGUGGCUUACCAAGGCUUUGACGGGUAGCCGGCCUGAGAGGGUGACCGGCCACAUUGGGACUGAGAUACGGCCCAGAUUCCUACGGGAGGCAGCAGGGGGGAAUAUUGCACAAUGGGCGGAAGCCUGAUGCAGCAACGCCGCGUGCGGGAUGACGGCCUUCGGGUUGUAAACCGCUUUCGCCUGUGACGAAGCGUGAGUGACGGUAAUGGGUAAAGAAGCACCGGCUAACUACGUG
rnacentral:rRNA from 1 species